rnacentral:snRNA from 1 species
AUUUAUUUCUUGGCCUUUUGGCUAAGAUCGAGUAUAGUAUCUAUUCUUAUCAGUUUAAUAUUUCUCACAGUUCUGGAGGCUGGAAGUCCAAGAUUAAGGUGCCAGCAGGUUGGGUUCUGGUGAGGUCUCUUUUCCAGGUUGCAGGCUGCUGACUUUGCAGCCUCACAUGG